rnacentral:rRNA from 1 species
GGCCUAAUACAUGCGAGUCGAACGGUUGUAGCAAUACAAUAGUGGCGCACGGGUGCGUAACACGUAUGCAACCUACCUUAUAGACGGGGAUAGCCUUUGGAAACGGAGAUUAAUACCCGAUAGCAUUAUAUGACUGGCAUCAGUUAAUAAUUAAAGAUUUAUCGCUAUAAGCUGGGCAUGCGUCCAAUUAGUUAGUUGGUGAGGUAAUGGCUCACCAAGACGAUGAUUGGUAGGGGAACUGAGAGGUUAAUCCCCCACACUGGCACUGAGAUACGGGCCAGACUCCUACGGGAGGCAGCAGUAGGGAAUAUUGGGCAAUGGAGGCAACUCUGACCCAGCCAUGCCGCGUGCAGGAUGAAGGCGUUAUGCGUUGUAAACCGCUUUUAUAUAGGAAGAAAUAGACCUUGCGAGGUAAGUUGACGGUACUAUAUGAAUAAGCACCGGCUAACUCCGUGCCAGCAACCGCGGUAAUACGGAGGGUGCAAGCGUUGUCCGGAUUUAUUGGGUUUAAAGGGUGCGUAGGCGGUUUAUUAAGUCAGUGGUGAAAGACGGUCGCUCAACGAUUGCAGUGCCAUUGAUACUGGUAGACUUGAGUGAGAUUGAGGUAGCUGGAAUGGAUAGUGUAGCGGUGAAAUGCAUAGAUAUUAUCC